rnacentral:rRNA from 1 species
CUGAGAUGCUGAUCCUACUCCUUGGGACUGAGACACUGCCCAAUCUCCUACGGUGGACGGAACUCUGAUCUAUCGACGCCUCGUGCAAGAUCAAAGUCUUCGGAUUGUAAACUGCUGUGGUAGGGGAAAAAUGCUAUGUAUAGUGCAUAGCUACAUAAAGGGAUGGUACCUUACUAGAAAGCCCCGGCUAACUACGUGCCAGCAGCCGCGGUAAUACGUAGGGGGCGAGCGUUACCCGGAAUCACUGGGCGUAAAGGGAGCGUACGUGGCCUUACAUGUCAACUGUGAAAACCCGGAGCUCAACUCCGGACUUGCAGUUGAAACUGCCAGGCUUGAGGACGGUAGAGGAAGACGGAACUGCCAGUGUAGGGGUAAAAUCCUCAGAUAUAGGCAGGAACGCCGGUGACGAAGGUGGUUUUUUGGGCCGGUUCUGACACUGAUGCUCGAAAGCCAGUGGAGCGAACGCGAUUAGAUACCCCGGUAGUGUUGGCCCUAAACGAUGUUCAUUAGGUGUGGGGAGCGGAAAGCUCUCUGUGCUAAAGAUAACGCGAUAAGUGAACUGCCUGGGGAGUACGCCCGCAAGGGUGAAACUCAAAGGAAUAGACGGGGACCCGCACAAGCGGUGGAGCGUGUGGUUUAAUUCGAUGCUAAGCGAAGGACCUUACCAAGGUUUGACAUGCUAAUGGUAGUGAAUUGAAAGAGGAGACGACCUCAUUAUGUGUGGUGUCAGCACAGGUGGUGCACGGCCGUCGUCAGCUCGUGUCGUGAGGUGUUGGGUUAAGUCCCGCAACGAGCGCAACCC